rnacentral:lncRNA from 1 species
AGUUCCCUGUUUCUCUAUUUAUUUCUCAUUUGAAAUUAUGCAGAUUGACUCUCCUUUCCUUCUCUCCUAGGGGGCAAAUCCUCGAACGCGAACCUGAUCUCAUGUCACAGAAGCAACUUGCCAUGAAAUCCGCUAAUGCGCCGCGACUCGCCCACCAGGAUAAAUAACCCCAUCGUCCGUGUAAUCAGCCCGUUCCCAAUGAAGUCGUUUUCCUCGAAUGCACUCUCUGCUUGCCACACUGGAGGAAUCCAACCCACAGAGGUUUCGGAAACCCAGUUUGAGUGAUUCCAGCCUAGACUGAAACCCUGCGAACCUCCCAGGAAAGAGAGCCCGGCCCGGGCCAAGCAGUCGGACACACACACACACACACACACACACACACACACACACACGGACGGCGUAGCUCUUCGCAGGAUGGAAGGCUGGAUGCGGAUCUGGGAGGCUGUGGCUAAGCGAACCAGGAAGACUGUGAGGGAAACCAAUACAGCAGUGUCAUCUUGAAAGUUAUUUGGAAGAACAGGACCUGGAGUCUGGGUUUGAAUCAAAAAACUAUGAGCAAGGGACAGAUUACCCAGUAUUUCUUUGGAGCCAGACAGAACUGAGACCUGCCCAGCUGAACCAGCUUGGUUUGGAUUAGGAAAUUAUUCUCAGACACAGUAGCACACACAUCCUCUGACAGCGAGCUCACUCCUGGGCAGUGGGCUUCUGGCUCUGCCACUGCUCUCCACAACCACCCUACAGGCCUCCUCCAGGUUUUGCCAGGCAAAUGAAAGGAGCGGAACUCGAUAGUAAAUUAUUUUGUUCAGCUUUCUCUCUUUUUAUGAAAAUAAAAGGCAACACUUUGUCAUUUUUAAUCACAUAAGCAGACAAUAAAUCUAAUUUUGAUAUUGAUUAUUUUCCAGAAUCCAGUGAUUUUUUGUAGUGGCUGUUGUGUUUCCUUUCUGAAGAACAGCUGUUUUCUUGUAGACAGUGUGGCAAUGGGGCUGCCUCUAUGCAGGCUGGUGCUUAUCUGAAACACGUUGUGGACUUUGAAGCCAGAUAGCUGACAAGGGAUUCUUCCUGAGUGGCAGGAAGUUUGGAUUUUGUCUGAGACAGUGAUUUGAAUGGGCCGCCCCGGUGCCCUAGACUAGAUGUAAGGCUUUGACGGUGCCUUUAGGGGUUACAGCAUUUGAGAUUGACAGGUUUAAGUUUUUCUCGAAAUAAAAUCAAGUAAAUAAAAAUAAAAACAACCCCCAAAUCUUGCUG